rnacentral:rRNA from 1 species
GACGAACGCUGGCGGCGUGGAUUAGGCAUGCAAGUCGAACGGUAUCAUCCUUUCGGGGGUGAGAGAGUGGCGAACUGGUGAGUAACACGUAGGUUAUCUACCCUCAAGACGGGGACAACCCAGGGAAACUUGGGCUAAUACCGGAUGUGAGCAACUUUUAGUUGUUUGAAAGGUGGCGUAAGCUGUCGCUUGGGGAUGAGCCUGCGUCCUAUUAGUUAGUUGGUGAGGUAACGGCUCACCUAGGCAAUGAUAGGUAGGCGGCCUUAACGGGUGGUCGCCCACACUGGGAUUGAGAUACGGCCCAGACUCCUACGGGAGGCAGCAGUCGAGAAUAGUCUACAAUGGUCGGAAGACUGAUAGUGCGACGCCGCGUGAACGAUGAAUCCCUUCGGGGUGUAAAGUUCUUUUAUAUGUGAGCAGUGCUUCUUAUAUUAACAGUAUGGGGAGAGAGGUAUUAGCAUAUGAAUAAGCAACGGCUAACUCCGUGCCAGCAGCCGCGGU